UCCUGGCUCAGAUUGAACGCUGGCGGCAUGCUUUACACAUGCAAGUCGAACGGCAGCGGGGACUUCGGUCCGCCGGCGAGUGGCGAACGGGUGAGUAAUGCAUCGGAACGUGCCUAUCAGUGGGGGAUAACGCUUCGAAAGGAGUGCUAAUACCGCAUAUUCUCUGAGGAGGAAAGCAGGGGACCUUAGGGCCUUGCGCUGAUAGAGCGGCCGAUGUCGGAUUAGCUAGUUGGUGAGGUAAAGGCUCACCAAGGCGACGAUCCGUAGCGGGUCUGAGAGGAUGAUCCGCCACACUGGGACUGAGACACGGCCCAGACUCCUACGGGAGGCAGCAGUGGGGAAUUUUGGACAAUGGGCGAAAGCCUGAUCCAGCCAUGCCGCGUGAGUGAAGAAGGCCUGGUGUAAG
rnacentral:rRNA from 1 species